GGUUCUGAAUAUUUUAAGAUAAUCUGAAGAUGAUCUGUAGAUUAGCAGAAGAUGUCAUAAUCUCUUAUGUCUUUUUCUAUGUAGCAGACUAGUAAGAGAGUCUUUUCUUUUGUAUCAUCAUAUCUACUGCAUGAAUUAUGGACUGUUCUGCUGGAUAUUUUGCUUUAAAAGUUUAGAACGACAUUCUGUAUCCUUGAUAUUUCCAAUCUGCUAUUUUCUUGAAGUGCAUUGUCGUUAAUUAGUAUAAAUAUAUUCUGAUUCUUUCCCACUUUUUGCAGGAAAAAUGUUACAAGCCAACAUCCAGUGUGGAUCAGUUGGCAAUUCACUUUGCACUUGAUGGCAAUAUGCUUCAUAAAGAUUCAGAUGAAGCCAGAAGACAGCGAGCAAGGCAGGGAUUGGCAGAAGGCUUUGAUGACUUCUUGAGACCAGUGAGCUCUUUUUGUGAGUAAUGCUCUGCAUU